GGAUGCUAUCAUACCAGCACUAAAGCACCGGAUCCCAUCAGAACUCCGAAGUUAAGCGUGCUUGGGCGAGAGUAGUACUAGGAUGGGUGACCUCGUGGAAGUCCUCGUGUUGCAUUCC
rnacentral:rRNA from 1 species